CGAGGCGGCUUAAUUGGGAUGGGAACUGACUGGUGAGGCUUAAUCGUCGACCAAUGGGUCGAAUCUGCACAAGGAAGGCAACCAGCACACACUCGCAGGCGGGUCGUGGAAACAUUUCUUUGUUUUUUCUCUUGGUCUGCCCCGCGUCGAAUUUUGAAGGCAGAAAAUGUCGGGAGGAGGCGAGCAUAACCAGGCCUAACUCAAACCUGUUAAAAGACAACCCGGGUUCGCAGCGCGAUUUUAAAAAACAAGAUUGAAAAAGUCAGAAAUUCUAUCUACAUGCUACAUAUGAUCAGUCCCAAAAAAUUUCGGAUUGUUCCAGGCACCGUCGAAUACCUGGAAAACGUGUUUAUUGUCAACUCUACAGGAUCGACCGAAGUCCAUGGAGUUGGGGGCAUUCGAUGUGCCCCAUAGCAGUGAGACGCCACUGUUUUUUUCGCCGUAUAAUUAUUAUGGCGGGACUGAAAAUGAACUUAAGCAAGAUGCGAUGGUGAUACGGUAGGGCUGGAGAACUUCAAAAGUCGGUUCGCGUCGUGGUUCCAAAGCAGUAACUUUAGGUUCCCUACAUUUACAGAAUGUUGCAUUAAGUACUCGUUUUUUAAUUUACAAUUUUUACAUCCAUUUUACUUUUUUUCUUACUC